GGGAGUGACUUGGUUUCGACUGGAGUAGUCGGGGCUAUGUGCAUGUCGGACUGGGCAAUUCCGUUACGCGGCCCACUUAGCUUAAACGCAAACAAUACAGAUUAUCGUCCAGCUUACGCAGUAGCGUAAGUCAUUAACCCCGCUAACGCGGAGGACUGCCCUGCCGGUGAGUGUCAUCUUAACCGGAUCUUUGGGUAUCACAUCUGAUGACUAUGCUCCGUGGAAGCCAUGCCACGGUGUGAGAAUUCUGGCUGGUUUGGUGUAGUUUUGGGUGUUGAACGAAACCAAACGAGAACAAUCAACACCGACUAAGCAUGUAGAGUCAUAGUCCUAGCUAUUUUAGGACAGGGGUUCAAUUCCCCUCACUUCCACCA
rfam:Sulfurovum sp. NBC37-1 genomic DNA, complete genome.